UUUAUUGGGCGUAAAGCGAGCGCAGGCGGUUUGAUAANUCUGAAGUUAAAGGCUGUGGCUCAACCAUAGUUCGCUUUGGAAACUGUCAAACUNGAGUGCAGAAGGGGAGAGUGGAAUUCCAUGUGUAGCGGUGAAAUGCGUAGAUAUAUGGAGGAACACCGGUGGCGAAAGCGGCUCUCUGGUCUGUAACUGACGCUGAGGCUCGAAAGCGUGGGGAGCGAACAGGAUUAGAUACCCUGGUAGUCCACGCCGUAAACGAUGAGUGCUAGGUGUUGGGUCCUUUCCGGGAUUCAGUGCCGCAGCUAACGCAUUAAGCACUCCGCCUGGGGAGUACGACCGCAAGGUUGAAACUCAAAGGAAUUGACGGGGGCCCGCACAAGCGGUGGAGCAUGUGGUUUAAUUCGAAGCAACGCGAAGAACCUUACCAGGUCUUGACAUCCCGAUGCUAUUUCUAGAGAUAGGAAGUUACUUCGGUACAUCGGUGACAGGUGGUGCAUGGUUGUCGUCAGCUCGUGUCGUGAGAUGUUGGNUUAAGUCCCGCAACGAGCGCAACCCCUAUUGUUAGUUGCCAUCAUUCAGUUGGGCACUCUAGCGAGACUGCCGGUAAUAAACCGGAGGAAGGUGGGGAUGACGUCAAAUCAUCAUGCCCCUUAUGACCUGGGCUACACACGUGCUACAAUGGUUGGUACAACGAGUUGCGAGUCGGUGACGGCGAGCUAAUCUCUUAAAGCCAAUCUCAGUUCGGAUUGUAGGCUGCAACUCGCCUACAUGAAGUCGGAAUCGCUAGUAAUCGCGGAUCAGCACGCCGCGGUGAAUACGUUCCCGGGCCUUGU
rnacentral:rRNA from 1 species